rnacentral:rRNA from 1 species
CCUACGGGCGGCAGCAGUGAGGAAUAUUGGUCAAUGGGCGAGAUCCUGAACCAGCCAAGCCGCGUGAGGGAUGACGACCCUAUGGGUUGUAAACCUCUUUUGUCGGGGAACAAAACCCGGGACGUGUCCCCGACUGCGUGUACCCGAAGAAAAAGCAUCGGCUAACUCCGUGCCAGCAGCCGCGGUAAUACGGAGGAUGCGAGCGUUAUCCGGAUUUAUUGGGUUUAAAGGGUGCGCAGGCGGUCCGUUAAGUCAGCGGUAAAAUUGCGGGGCUCAACCCCGGCCGGCCGUUGAAACUGGCAGGCUUGAGUUGGCGAGAAGUAGGCGGAAUGCGCGGUGUAGCGGUGAAAUGCAUAGAUAUCGCGCAGAACUCCGAUUGCGAAGGCAGCGUACCGGCGCCAGACUGACGCUGAGGCACGAAAGCGUGGGGAUCGAACAGGAUUAGAUACCCGUGUAGUC